UACGUAGGGGCCUAGCGUUGUCCGGAUUUAUUGGGCGUAAAGAGCUCGUAGGCGGUGUGUCACGUCGGCCGUGAAAACCUGCAGCUUAACUGUGGGCGUGCGGUCGAUACGGGCAUCACUGGAGUUCGGCAGGGGAGACUGGAAUUCCUGGUGUAGCGGUGAAAUGCGCAGAUAUCAGGAGGAACACCCGGUGGCGAAGGCGGGUCUCUGGGGCCGAUGACUGACGCUGGAGGAGCGAAAGCGUGGGGAGCAAACAGG
rnacentral:rRNA from 1 species